rnacentral:rRNA from 1 species
CCUGCCCAAGAGAUCGGGGAUAACAACCUGGAAACAGAUGCUAAUACCGGAUAACAACAGAUGAUGCCUAUCAACUGUUUAAAAGAUGGUUCUGCUAUCACUCUUGGAUGGACCUGCGGUGCAUUAGCUAGUUGGUAGGGUAACGGCCUACCAAGGCGAUGAUGCAUAGCCGAGUUGAGAGACUGAUCGGCCACAUUGGGACUGAGACACGGCCCAAACUCCUACGGGAGGCAGCAGCC